rnacentral:rRNA from 1 species
AACGUAGGAGACAAACGUUAUCCGGAGUUACUGGGCGUAAAGGGCGUGUAGGCGGUUUGUUAAGUCUGGCGUGAAAGCUCUCGGCUAAACCGGGAGAGGUCGUUGGAUACUGGCAAACUAGAGGAUGGUAGAGGCGUGUGGAAUUCCGGGUGUAGUGGUGAAAUGCGUAGAGAUCCGGAGGAACACCAGUGGCGAAGGCGGGUCUCUGGGCCGAUACUGACGCUGAGGAGCGAAAGCGUGGGGAGCGAACAGG